rnacentral:rRNA from 1 species
UGGGGAAUUUUGGACAAUGGGGGAAACCCUGAUCCAGCCAUCCCGCGUGUGCGAUGAAGGCCUUCGGGUUGUAAAGCACUUUUGGCAGGAAAGAAACGUCAUGGGUUAAUACCCCGUGAAACUGACGGUACCUGCAGAAUAAGCACCGGCUAACUACGUGCCAGCAGCCGCGGUAAUACGUAGGGUGCAAGCGUUAAUCGGAAUUACUGGGCGUAAAGCGUGCGCAGGCGGUUCGGAAAGAAGGAUGUGAAAUCCCAGGGCUCAACUUUGGAACUGCAUUUUUAACUACCGGGCUAGAGUGUGGCAGAGGGAGGUGGAAUUCCGCGUGUAGCAGUGAAAUGCGUAGAUAUGCGGAGGAACACCGAUGGCGAAGGCGGCCUCCUGGGAUAACACUGACGCUCAUGCACGAAAGCGUGGGGAGCAAACAGG